rnacentral:tRNA from 1 species
GCGAUCGUACUGCAAUUCGGCCUUUGUCAGGCCGUCUCCACUUGCCUAGCAGCACCGGCAGAAUCAUCCUUGCUGGCAGCUUUGCGGACUUCUAAUCCGCGGCUCGCAGGUUCGAAUCCUGCCGAGCGCG